CAGUACUUUGCCUCGAAGUGGAGUGACGCUUUUGCCCUCAUUUGAGAUUUUUUUGCGGUUCUGCCACUGAGCUAUACUAGGGGCUUCCAUCAGUUUCUUCUUUCUUCUACGGCCAUCGGAUUCUUCUCUCCUGUUAGUUUCUCUCUUCCUCUCUUCUGCCCUAGUUUAUUAAGCUAUCGCCAUCACUCAGUACGACAUCGAAGAAGUACAGCAACACUUGCAACCACACAUUUUCGCAGCAGAAGAUAGUUUCUCUGUACGAGAGGUUCUGUCAGCUCGAUCACAGUGGCGGAGGUUUCAUCUUCACCGACGAGUUUUUGUCCGUACCGGAAUUCGCAGUCAAUCCUCUCUCUCAGUUUUGGCUGGGUGGACGUAGAUACUAGGGGAGAGAUGGAGCAAGACCACACUUGCUCUUAGGAGAUGCUUCUGUAUCAACACCCAAUUUCCUUUUCUCAUCAGAGGGAUUUGAUCAAACAACAAAGCUACUUAGUUUUGGGGUGACUUGCUCUUAGGAGACGCUUCUGUAUCAACACCCAAUUUCCUUUUUUCAUCAGAGACAUUUGAUCAAACAACAAAGCUACUUAGUUUUGGGGUGAAUUCAGGUCUUCCUUUUUUCUCAUCAGCUUCUCUAAUUUCAUAUCAGAGGGUUGAAUUCAUUAUUAAUUCAUUGUACCUGAUGAACUCCAACUUGGCCUUGACGCCUGCUACCAGAGGUGUGUGGAAGUUUUUUUUCCAUUUCUUUUACUCAACAUGGCAAUACUCAAUUUCUAUUAUGACUAUGAUGCUUGGAUGCAUGAGUUUAGAAAACUUUCUUUCCUCAGCAAUAAUGCUAAGAGCAAACUGAAACUUUUAGAAGCAAUAACGGAUGCUCAACUAAUUUGAAAGACAGCUCUUUAUAGCAUGUAGUAUAAGUUUCAUGAGCAUGAUCCCUAAAUAUCUAUUUCAUUCACAACUAUAUGACCGGAUCAGUUUUUUGGUUAACUUUCUUGGUAGUGGAAUCAUAGCAGUAUGUGGAAUAUGUUUAUUAUGUUUGCUUAUAUGGAGGUGAAUUGCUUGAAGCCUUGAAUGCCAUUACUAUUAGCAAUCGUUCUGUUCAUAUAGAUAUGAUAUUUAAACCCUGACCAGUUGGAUGUCAUAAUUUCUCUAUGCUUUUCCUUUAUCCCAAUUGUACGUAUCAUUCUAUUUUUUGUCUGUAUCAGUUGAUCUUCUGUGCUUAUUCACUAUCAAUCCUAUGCUGUUACGAUCUGCAGUGAAUGCCAGAUGCAGUACAUGUCACCAAUUGAGGGAAUCUAAUGUAUUUUUGUUAUAUCUAACCAUUUUUGUAACCAGUAUCAAAAACAACUUUGGUUAGAAUAUUUUUUGAAAAACUGUAAAUAGCCAAGCUUGGUCUGUUCAGAACUUCGAUUUUUGGAACAUAUAAAUAUAUGAAACUGGUUAGAACACCAAAUUUUGAAAUAUGUAAAUAUACAUCGUGUAACGAAAAAUUUAUACAUAUACCCGCAGCAUCGCGCGGGAUAUAUACAACGAGGAUUCAAACAGUUUGGGAUCACGAUUGUCAAGGGUCCUGUGAUUGGGUGUCUAUUUUCAAGCAAGCUUGGUGGUGUUGCCGCUGGUAUGCGAUUUUCUGGUAGCUGUUGCUGGGUGAACUAGGCUUCUGUUUAGAUAGAAUGUGGUGCAGGAAGUUUAUCUUCCUGCCAUUAUUUACUAUAUACUAAAGGAGAGAUACUGUUCAUUUUACUGUUCAUUUAACAGUAAGAGGCCGUUUCUGCCCUUACUCUUUUCCACAAUUUUGGCCCUGCCACUCAGUCGUUCUAGAAUCUGCGUAGUGUAUGGAUUUGUUGCGUGGCUUCUAGAGAAAGCACAGUGGAAAGAGAGAGAGAGACUCCAUCGAGUGCAGCCAGAUUCAUUCUACUUUCGGUUUUGUUCUCGGAUACAGACGCAGCGUGAAGAAACCCCUGAGGUUGUUUUUGUGUUCUGUGUUUGAUAGAGAGAGAGAAAUUAGAUCCAGAGAUAGAGAGAGACGGAGAAGGAGAGACAGCGAAAGAGAACCAGAGAGGAGGCCCAUCAGGAUUUCGUCAAGGUUGACCAGUUGUUGCCCAAGGGCGGGUGAUUGAAGCAGAGGAUAUAUACCGUUCGUAUUUGGUGAGUUCCUUCUUGAUUGCUCUGAGCACCUCAUUUUUGUAUGGUCUAAUUAUUUAUGUCAAAAGCCAUGUUUCUACUCAUCAAAAUCGUUACUGGGUUUUGAAAAUGAUAAAUCAAAAGAAGAACAUGAAGGUGGCUCUUUUACAGUUUCAUACCUUUUUUUGGAUUCGUCUAUAUCGCUUGAGGAGGGAUUAGAUUGGAAGUUUCAGGCUUUGUUUUUGUUUAUUAGUAUUGAAAUUUGGUUUUGACCUAAAUGAAAUUUUAAUGUCUGCUCUUUAAUUGAUAGUCUGGUUGCGUUUUGUAAAACAUAGAUAUUUUGGCAUCUGUUUUGCUUGCAUUGUGACAUGGAUAUUUGUUUUGCUUCCAACUGAAUUUUUUUGGCAGGCUGAAAUAGUAAAUAUAUGAAUCAUGUGAAUGAAAAUUAUACAAUAAUGAGUGCAAUUUUAUGACUUUAUGUUCCAAGUUAAGUUAAUAAUGAUUGUUAUGGUUUUAGUUUAAUUGUGUAUUGGUUGCACAUCUUAUAUCAUCAUAGAUCUUAUAUGAUCCGAAUGAAAAUUAAGUCACAGUAAGCUGAUGGUUGGAAAAAGGUUUUUGGAGCAGGUUAAAACUCUGAAAGGAUUUGUAGAGGCAAAAUUUGUUGGUGAAAUUCAUUACGGUUUCCUAUUGUGUUUUGAUAUAGGUUAACAAACUUUUCUUAUUGGGUUCGCCUCAUUGAAAUGUAGAAAUGUAAUCCACUUUUUGUGUAUAGAGGGAAAAACGAAUAAAUGGAAAUUAAAAGCUUUCCAGGUGUAGGAUGAAAAACUGGUGUGAUUAUUAUUCUGUGUGUGAAAGGUUUGAACUUAUAAGCAGUGCCACUACUGUGUUUGAGAUGCUCAAGUGAACUCUCAAAUAAGAAUGGAGCAUAGGACCUACCUAGAUCCAGAAGAGCCUCUUCACCCAGCUAAACCAACCCUUAAUAGACUAAGGGCCUUCCUUUACCCAGCAAUGAUCCUAUCUCUAAAUCCCCAUUGUUAAUGUUUCGUUUAAAAAAAAAAAAACUGCUUUUUGAUGAAUUUAUUUUAAAACAGGGGUCAAUUAAUAAUCAGUUUGAUAGAAAAAAGUUACCAGUAAGCAUGACAAUAUUGAAAUAAGCAUACUACUGCUGUCAUGACUAAAUGCAUUAAACUUGCAUUUCGAGUGACGGAGCUUUGCUUCAUGUUCCAGGGACCUUAAGAUAAAUUAAAAUCAGUUUUGCUUUUAGUGUGCUAUGCUUUCAGUUUUAAAGGUCUGCUAACAGUUGCUACUAGGAAUCUGUUAAAGGGUUGCAAGUUGUGUCACUCUGUUGUGACUAUUUCAGUCACCAACAACAAAAGGCUACCUCCGAACUGACCCUCUCCUUACAACACAGCAAGAGUAGUAGAGGAAAUAAACUGCUUGAAGGUGGUUGUAGGUCAUGUGCUAUCUCUCAUUAUUCUUGCAUCUGUGAGGCAUAAGCUCCUCCACUGGUUGCUGCUUCGGAUUGUGAGAGAAUAAUUACUAUGCUUCGGGUGGUUAGGUUUAGAGUUAUCUCUCAAGGAAUGAGCUUUUCCUCUGUAAAGGUCUGAUUCUCAAUAUCUAACAAUGCAUGUAAUUUGAAUAUGUGUGUAUUUUUGAAUGAACCCUGCAUUACAUGCAAGCAACCUUCAUUGCUAUUUCA